AUAUUGGUGCGAGACCGAUAGCAUACAAGUACCGUGAGGGAAAGAUGAAAAGAACUUUGAAAAUAGAGUUAAAGAGUACCUGAAACUGCUGAAAGGUAACCAAAUCGUUUCCAGUGUCUAUAAUCCGUGGUAUAUUUCAUUGGCGAGCGUAUGCGUGCGUGUGCUGUUGCAGUGGCCUUUUUGGCUGCGCUCGGCGUGUGUGCUGUGUGUGCUUGCCGGUGCCCUGUGCUAUGGUGGGACGUCAAGGUCAGUUCGUAUGCUGCGGGAAAUGGCCACCGAGGAGGUAGGGCUUACGCUUGCGUUUGUCUGUUAUAUCUUGGUGGACGAGUAGUCGCGGUUGGGACUGAGGUGCCUACAACGUGCUUUUGAGUGGAUUUGGGUCUCCGUGUGCGCCGUGUGCGGAUAGCUUGCUAUGCGUGUGUGGCUGUGUAUGGAUUGAUGCGAGUCGUAACUUGUAGCCGUUCGGGACGUUGACGAAAUGGAGCGAUUUGACCCGUCUUGAAACACGGACCAAGGAGUCUAACAUAUGUGCAAGUGUUCGGGUGUCGAAACCCCAGCGCGUAAUGAAAGUAAAGGAUAGCGUAAGCUGUCUGAGGUAGGAAAUGCUGCGAACUUCGGUUUGCGGCGUGGCACUAUCGACCGAUCAUGAACCCUCGUGGUGAAAGAUUUGAGUUUGAGCACAUAUGUUGGUACCCGAAAGAUGGUGAACUAUGCCUGAGUAGGGUGAAGCCAGGGGAAACUCUGGUGGAAGCUCGUAGCGAUUCUGACGUGCAAAUCGAUCGUUGAACUUGGGUAUAGGGGCGAAAGACUAAUCGAACCAUCUAGUAGCUGGUUCCCUCCGAAAUUUCCCUCAGGAUAGCAGCAACUUAUUUACGAUAGUUUUAUGAGGUAAAGCGAAUGAUUAGAGGUUUCGGGGAAGAAACUUCCUCGACCUAUUCUC
rnacentral:rRNA from 1 species